CCUACGGGAGGCAGCAGUGGGGAAUAUUGCGCAAUGGGCGAAAGCCUGACGCAGCGACGCCGCGUGAGGGAUGAAGGUCUUCGGAUCGUAAACCUCUGUCAGCAGGGAAGAACGGUCACUGUGCUAAUCAGCAGUGAAUUGACGGUACCUGCAAGGGAAGCACCGGCUAACUCCGUGCCAGCAGCCGCGGUAAUACGGAGGGUGCGAGCGUUAAUCGGAAUUACUGGGCGUAAAGCGCUCGUAGGCGGUAUGUCAAGUCAAGGGUGAAAUCCCCGCGCUCAACGUGGGAACUGCCUUUGAAACUGGCAAACUGGAGUGUGUGAGAGGAUAGUGGAAUUCCUGGUGUAGGAGUGAAAUGCGUAGAUAUCUGGAGGAACAUCAGUGGCGAAGGCGACUAUCUGGCACAUAACUGACGCUGAGGAGCGAAAGCGUGGGUAGCAAACAGGAUUAGAUACCCCUGUAGUC
rnacentral:rRNA from 1 species